rnacentral:rRNA from 1 species
AGGCCUAUCUUGGAAGUCGGAUUUAGCCAUGCUAGUCGCACGAGUUCAGACUCGUGGCAUAUAGCUCAGUAACACGUGGCCAAACUACCCUACAGACCGCGAUAACCUCGGGAAACUGAGGCCAAUAGCGGAUAUCACUCUCAGACUGGAGUGUCGAGAGUGAGAAACGUUCCGGCGCUGUAGGAUGUGGCUGCGGCCGAUUAGGUAGAUGGUGGGGUAACGGCCCACCAUGCCGAUAAUCGGUACGGGUUGUGAGAGCAAGAACCCGGAGACGGUAUCUGAGACAAGAUACCGGGCCCUACGGGGCGCAGCAGGCGCGAAACCUUUACACUGCACGACAGUGCGAUAGGGGGACUCCGAGUGCGAGGGCAUAUAGCCCUCGCUUUUCUGUACCGUAAGGUGGUACAGGAACAAGGACUGGGCAAGACCGGUGCCAGCCGCCGCGGUAAUACCGGCAGUCCAAGUGAUGGCCGAUAUUAUUGGGCCUAAAGCGUCCGU